rnacentral:lncRNA from 1 species
AUGGACCGACCCAUUGAAGGAUCCAGCGGGGAGAUUCUCCCGUGGAAGUACGUGCUCCGGUGGCUCACCCCAAGCCACCAGCCGGCUUCUCCAGCUCCAGCUCCGCCUCGCCGCAGACGAUGGCACCGACCUGCACCCUCGGCUAUCCUCUCCACCCUCCCAGCGCCUGAUGAAAGAUUGGAUCGAGAGACGCACUUGGAUCACUUCAGUUACAUGGGCACCCGUCUGGCUGUGAGCUUCCCCAGGGUUGGUCCACUGCGUGGGGAGAGACGCCGGGCUCUACCGCAGUCCUGUGUUCCAGGACGGAGCUGUGAGCUCGCCGCUGCCCCUGCUCGGCGCAGCAGCUUCGACCCGCCCCCGGCCAGACCAGCAGUUCCAUCUCCGGUCCAAUCGGCGCCUCCGUCAUCUGCAGGCGGAGGAGCGUUGGCCGCAGCCCAGCUGACAGAGCUCGUCAGUCUCCAGGCGGAGCUUGGCCGGUUCCGCCAGCUCGUCAGCUUCCAGGAGACCCGCCUGGAUGCUCUAUCCUCCUCGGGCCGCCGGGAGAGGGUCUCGGUCCAGCCGGCGGCUCCCUCAUCUCAGGGCCAGAGGAGUGAGUCCGGGGUCCACCCAGUGGAGCUCGCCGGUCUCCGGGCUGAGCUGGCCCAGCUCCAUCGGAUGCUCAGCCUCGAGGAGUUUCAGCUGGACGGUCUGUCCUCCCUGCUCUCACAGUUUCCAGCACCACCAGUUCUGUCGCAUCCUGUUCCAGCGGUGGUCCCGGAGGUCGCACCGCAUCUGGUCCAGCCUGUCCAGGCAGCCCCUCCCGCAGCAGCUCUGCCUCCGGCCCAGAAGCUGACGGUACCGGUCCGGAAGCAGGCGGUCCCGGCCCAGAAGUCGACGGUCCAGAAGUCGACGGUCCAGAAAUCGACGGUCCAGACGUCAACGGUUCGGAAGUCAAUGGUGGUCGACGCCUCUUCCAGUCCAAGGGUCGACGCCUCUUCCAGUCCAAGGGUCGACGCCCCCAGGCCAGAAGUCGACGCCCCCGAGCCAGAAGUCAACGCCCCCAGGCCAGAAGUCGAUGCCCCCGGGCCAGAAGUCGACACCUCCGGGCCAGAGGUCGACGCCCCUGGGCCAGAGGUCGACGCCCCCGGGCCAGAGGUCGACGCCUCCUCUGAAGUCGACGCUUCCUCUUAA